rnacentral:rRNA from 1 species
GAUGAACGCUGGCGGCGUGCCUGAUACAUGCAAGUCGAGCGAACAGAUGAGGAGCUUGCUCCUCUGACGUUAGCGGCGGACGGGUGAGUAACACGUGGAUAACCUACCUAUAAGACUGGGAUAACUUCGGGAAACCGGAGCUAAUACCGGAUAAUAUAUUGAACCGCAUGGUUCAAUAGUGAAAGACGGUUUUGCUGUCACUUAUAGAUGGAUCCGCGCCGCAUUAGCUAGUUGGUAAGGUAACGGCUUACCAAGGCAACGAUGCGUAGCCGACCUGAGAGGGUGAUCGGCCACACUGGAACUGAGACACGGUCCAGACUCCUACGGGAGGCAGCAGUAGGGAAUCUUCCGCAAUGGGCGAAAGCUUGACGGAGCAACGCCGCGUGAGUGAUGAAGGUCUUCGGAUCGUAAAACUCUGUUAUUAGGGAAGAACAAAUGUGUAAGUAACUAUGCACGUCUUGACGGUACCUAAUCAGAAAGCCACGGCUAACUACGUG